AGGAAAAGAAACUAACAAGGAAUCCCUUAGUAACGGCGAGUGAAACGGGAAAAGCCCAGCCUCGAAGCUCCUGUAUAGGCGCGGUGUGAGGUGUGAUAGGGCGUACCUUGCUUAUUCUAUAUUAAUUCUAAGUGUGCUUUGAACGCAACGCCAAAGAGGGUGACAGCCCCGUAGGAAUUAAUAUAGUGAGCAGUAUAGGACGCCUUAUUCUGAGUAGGGUUGUUUGAGAGUGCAACCCGAAUUGGGUGGUAAACUCCAUCCAAGGCUAAAUACGUUCAUGAGUCUGAUAGUCGACAAGUACCGUGAGGGAAAGUUGAAAAGUACUCUGAAAAGAGAGUAAAAUAGUACGUGAAACUGCUAACAGGUCAUCGGGUGGACCGUCACCGCCGAAAAGCGGCUUUUUUAAGCCUGCGUUAAAGGCAUUGCCUGUCAAGAUUGCGUGGAGUGCAUUCAGCGUGAGAUUGAUUGACGAUUUUUUUCAUCUUUCAAUUCACCUGAUCACACCUUAGUCAUGUCAUGUUUUGGCACGAUAUCCUAUCUUAAUGGCAAAUUCGAUGUUCCACCCGGCCCGUCUUGAAACACGGACCAAGGAGACUAACGCUGUUGCGAGUCGCAGGGCAGUUCGUAUGCUUCUGGGCGAAAUGAAAGUGCCAAUUGACGGUACAUUCGUUGGGGUGAUACGUAUCGAAGGAUACGGGGCAACCCCGGGCAGCUAAACACUUGUGUUUGGUCUGACCUUGAGCAGCAGUGUUAGGACCCGAAAGAUGGUGAUCUAUGCCUGGGCAGAGUGAAGCCACGAGAAAUUAUGGUGGAAGCUCGUAGCGAUUCUGACGUGCAAAUCGAUCGCGUGAUCUGGGCAUAGGGGCGAAAGGCCAAUCGAACCAUCUAGUAGCUGGUUCCCUCCGAAGUUUCCCCCAGGAUAGCUGGCUGUCAGUAUUGAACAGUUUUACCAGGUAAAGCUAAUGAUUAGAGGAAUUGGGGAUAUUUUUUCCUCAACCUAUUCUCAAGCUUUAAAGUGGUAAGAUGUCAUUGUUUCAUAACUG
rnacentral:rRNA from 1 species